rnacentral:rRNA from 1 species
AUUGAACGCUGGCGGCAGGCCUAACACAUGCAAGUCGAACGGUAACAGGAUAAAUCUUUCCUCUUUGGGGGGGCGAGGGGCGCGGGAGAGGUAAGUACGUUGCACUCCAGGUUGGAGGGGGAUAUCUACUGGAAACGGUAUCCCUAAUCGCAUAACGGCCCAACAUCAAAUAGUGGGGCAUUCUGGAAUCUUGCCAUCAGAUCUGCGCAGAUGGGAGUCUCGUGUGGGUGGGGGCACGGCGCACAUAGGCGACGAGCCGUAGCGGGUGUGAGAGGAUGAGCAGCCACACUGGAACUGAGACACGGUCCAGACUCCUACGGGAGGCAGCAGUGGGGAAUAUUGCACAAUGGGCGCAAACCUGAUGCAGCCAUACCGCGUGUAUGAAGAAGGCCUUCGGGUUGUAAAGUACUUUUAUUGGGAAGGAAAAGAGUAAAGUUAAUACCUGGACCAAUUGACGGUACCCACAGAAGAAGCACCGGCUAACUACGUG